CUUUCGUUUUCGUCUGUCUGCCUCCCCGUGCGAUCCCCUCCUGCUACUCUGAUGAAAGGUGCCGACAUGUGGGACCUACUGCACGCAAGCGCCGCCUCGUUGCUCUGCUUCCUCCGCUUCUCAUCGUGAGAUCCCGCUCGCUCUCCCUCCCCCGCGCCGCGCGUGCGUUCCCCUUCGUGGGAUCCUGCUCGCUCCCCCAUGCGGCCACACCAUAAUCCUCGUCGUGCGCGCCUGCUUCGUCGCCACAUCCAGCCCGCGACGAGCGCCACCAGAUCCGUCGACCGUUCCUCCAUGUGACGACCGCGCUCUCCGGCAGCCGCUCCUCCUCUCUGGCGGCGGCUUCUCUCUGUGACGAGCACCCUCUCUCCAGCGGCGGCUCCUCCCUUCGCGGCAGCCACUCCUCUCUCUGGCGGUGGCCCCCAGCGCGACAAUCCCAUCAUGGGUGGCCUCCCGACGUGGCGGCGGCUCAGAUCCACAUGGGGUGGGGCACAGAUCAUCGAGGUGAUGAGGCCCUAGCUCUCCAUCUUCCUCUUCUCUCACUCUACCUCGCAGGCUGGAGUGUAGGGUGGAGACGCGAUGGUGGCAUUAGUUUUACCUAGGGAGAGGCUUGGGAUGUGCAUGAAGGUAGUCACACACCGAUGCCCCUAGCGGUCGACAUGGAGGAGGAUGUGCUGAUCGCUUGGCCACGUACAAGGAGCGGAUGUCCCUCUGUGUUUGCGACUGCCUCUUGUCAGCAUAUGCAUGUAAGGUGUUUGAUGAAAAUCCCUGAUGAGGGGAUAGCUCUCGAAUGCUUGGCAAGGCAUCCAUCCAUCAAUGAAGGUAAGGCAUUGGCAUUGGCCCAUAUUCCUCUCAACUCGCCUAUGGAAAGAACUGACAACAAACACCACACAUUGCAGCUCUUCUUUAAUUUGUGGUCUUCAUGGUAGAUUUUAUUAUUAAUCUUUCAGUUGACUAGAUGCAGUAAGGUAUAACGAUCACAACACCAUCAAGAAGCAUGAUACUUUCCUUGUUUUGCAUCCAUAUUAGAUGCAUAGCUUGUUAUUAAGCAUUAAGCAGUGAAGAUAGUUCUCACAAGACUACUAACCUGUGGUAACCACUCCAGCUAGCUCAAGUAAAGCUCACCUAUGUUAUGCACUGUGCUGCUAUAGUAACAAGGAAACCUAUAUGAAUUAGGUCUUUAUUCACAUGUUUGAUGCUACUAGAUAGAAAAAGGCCUACAUUCAUAAUAGCACACUGAAGUCAUGCCUGAAAUAAAUUAACAUAUAGAUCAGCAAAACCAUUGCGAUUCUCAGUAAUUUAGAAUACCAACAAAAUGUUUCAACCCUUUAACCAUGGUGGUAUGACUGGUUAUGUUUUACUAAAUCUUGGAUUUCUUGAAUUUUCAUUAAUUUCAUAGAUUCUGAUGAGUUCCCAUUCAAAUUCUCUUACUAGAGCCAUCAUCCUCUUCUCGUGCAGGUACUAUAAUUUCCCCUUUUGCCUAAUUACCAAAUUAGUCUGGAUAUAAAUGAUCCACCAUUUUUUUUGCUAUUCUAUGAAAUAUCCAAUUGAAUCCUUGUGCUCGAACUAGAUAUACACAUGAUCUAAAUUCAUGCCAUGUCAAGUGUGUAUUCAUUUAUCACUAAGUAGUGAAGGAUUGAAUGUACAGUGUUGUGUUUUUAGGCAAUUUUCUUGCAGUACUUCAAAAGCUCCUAUAUAACAUGGGAACCAAAGUUUUUGAUUGCCAUAGAGUUCUAGAUAUAAAACAUGACUGAUUGGAAAACAACUUUCUCUACAUUUACAGGCAUUUUGGUUGGUGAUGAGCUUGUAAUGGCAUGGAGUGAAUACAUUUACAGGUUUUUGAUUGCCAUGGAGUGAAUAAAUUUCAGUUUAUUUUUCAUGUAUUGCUAUAGAAAGAACUUUGUAGUUUAUUAAUUGUGACUAGGUAGGAUAAUAUCUUCCAUAGCAAGAUGGAUAAGCAAAAAAUGCCAGUAGAUCCUUUUUUAAAAAAAAAUGGAGAAUGAAACAAAUAUCUGAGCUGGCUUGUACAUUCAGCAUCCAUAGCAUACCCCUAAAGAUUCCCAUAUCAUGAGUUUCAACUGAUAGACAGAUGUGGAACCAGAGAUUUUCAAACUGAUUGAAUUCCUAGAGCUACUCCUGGAACGUUGUGAAAUCCGAUGAUCUGAUACAGGGACAUCCAUAGAUGCUUCUUUGAUAGACUUUGGCGCAGUCCUUGAGGUUCUUGGCCCCUAAUCCUUCUCGAUCUCGAUCUGAUCUCUUGCAAGUCUAUCUUGCCAUCGUCCUUGAGUACCUUGACGCUGUUCUUGAGGUUCCUGGCCCCAUCCUUCUCGAUCUCGAAUGUGUGCUGCUUUUGUUCUUUAUAUACAUUUAUAUCAUUCUUCAGGAUAACAAAGCUGAUAGAAUACAUGGUUCUUCAUAGAUCAGAUUCCUGCUAAUGCAUAGCUGUUCCAUUUUUUUUAUUUCAAGAAUCCUAUGUUCACCAAUGCCCUCGUGGUUCAUAAAUAUGUUAUUUUGCUUAACAUUUUUGACUCAAAUAGAAAGGAUACAAUUUUUAUAGUUAAGGCAAAGUGAAACCUCUUGACUAAUUUUAAACAUUUUUUUAAUUUCAAUAAGUUUCAGAGUUUUCAAUGACAAAUAUUUAACCAGAAUUCCGUAGCUGUUAACCGCUUGGCCAAUGUUAAUCUUUUAACUGCAAUCAUGAGGUAAUACUAGCUUCCCUGCUCAUCAGAUGCUUAUGGUCCCAUAGACACCUUAGUAGGAUAUCAAGGACAAAGAGCACCCUCGUGAUAUAUGUGAAGGGUUAUCCCGAGGCUGCUAGGUGUGGAUUAAGUGCAUUGGCAGUGAGGAUCCUUCAGCAAUAUGGUGUCCCAAUAUGGUAAGUUGGCUUUGGUGUCCAUACCUUUGAUAUUCUGUCAGAUCUCGACCUCAAGUAUUCUGUUAAAGCAUAACCACUAAUGAGGUAAGUAACUUCUUUCUAAUACUUUUGUGUGUUGUUAGACGUUCUGCUUUUAAAAUCACAUUGAGAUACCUAAAUUUACUUCUCAAAUUGCUGGCAGCUCUAGCUCAUAUGAGAUACACUGAUUUAGCUGUACCUCACGUUUGGCCCAUUUGAUCAGCAAGGUCACUUCUUGCUGGUAAUUGGGUUCUGUUCAACAGCAUGGGCAUUUUGAUAAGUUCUUGCUUUAUGAAAUCCUCACUUGGUACCCUAAUAAUAAAGAAUGCAUAGGACAAAUGUUUGAAUAGUUCUGAUGAAUAAUGUGGUUCUGAAUAACAAAAAUUAAAUGGCAAUAGCAUAUGCUUCUUAGGCUGUUUAUAUCUAUCAUCUGUUCUAAAACCAUGUGUUUUGUUUCAGACAAUAUUCUUAUGUUUUUUCCCACCAUAUAUAUACUGAGCAAUAAUGUUUGGUUUUCCUAAUUGCCAUAUGCUAGAAAACUAACAGUAUCAUGUAACCAUAUCUUAUCCAGUUAGGUUAGGCAACUUCUUUGUAUAUAAUAUGUUAGGAUUGUUUGCUAGGCCUAUUGGGUGGGAUGGAUGCCUCCUUCAAUCCGAUUAGCGUGCUGCUGCCGUGCUUGGUACACUGAGAUGUGCAAGUGCAAAUAUGAAGUCAACAUGACUUUUACACUUACUGUAGAACUUCAAAAGCUAGAGAGAUGUACUCUAAUGAAUUCACGGAAAAUUACUUAGAGCAAAAAAUAUUUUGGACUGCAGUGCCAUGUUCUUACCAUCAUAACUAACAAUAGGGAUUCAGUUGUAGUGAUUUCUGCAAUUUAAUUUGGUUUUGGUUGGUCCACUGAUGGCCUCAACAUUGUGAUUCUGGCCUCUGGUGUCUGGUACUACAGCGACGUCUUCCGCGGUUCUGCCUCAAGUUCUAAAAAAAUGGUUUGUUCGGAUUCUCUACAUAUGAUGCCUGGUGGGAGCACAUGGUCUGCGCACGCUGGUGGACUGGGUCACAGUGGUGGGCUUGGUUGGCCUACCUUGGUUUGGUCAGUUAAGAGGUUUUUGUGGUCAGGUCUCACGUCUAUCCACGUGUAUUCACAAAUGUAUAGUACUAUAAAUGCAGAUGAUUUUAAACCACUAAUGAGAACUUUAGCCAUCCACAAAAUUCAAUUUGUAAUCAUUAUUGUUUUUUAACUAUACAACAUAUUUAUGGUUAAAUUAUUAUAGCAUUAUUUA